rnacentral:rRNA from 1 species
ACGCUCGACACCUACGAGAGGCAGCAGUGAGGAAUAUUGGUCAAUGGGCGCUAGCCUGAACCAGCCAAGUAGCGUGAAGGAUGAAGGCUCUAUGGGUCGUAAACUUCUUUUAUAUAAGAAUAAAGUGCAGUAUGUAUACUGUUUUGUAUGUAUUAUAUGAAUAAGGAUCGGCUAACUCCGUGCCAACAGCCGCGGUAAUCUGAGCGGGCUGGCAAGGC